UGAAUGUGUUGUUAGGAGGUGGAGCCUUACUGAAAAAGAUCAAGCGGCAUGAGAGUAAGAGCUGAUUUUGCUAACUCCUUCGUCCCCGCGCCCGCCCGAAGACCACCCACACCUAACCAGCGAUCAAUGAGUACUUGUUGAAAGAACAAAUGAGCCGGGGAUGUAGCUCAGUGGCGCCGCCUGCCUCGCAAGCACAAGGUCCCGAGUUCCAUCCCCGCUACCAAAAACACCCAAAACCAAAAACCAAGAACAAAUGAAGUAAGGUGGAGGAAAAGCGCGUGGCCUGUAACAGAGCCUCGCCGCCCUGCCUGACCCCGCUCUGGCCCGAGGCCUGAGAAGCAUCCAGAGAGGCUGCUGAGUGGAACCUAGAAGGUGACAGACCCCGGGACACGUAAAAAUAAACUGGACACUGGCAGAUCAUGGCUGCAAUAGAGGAGGUUCGAUGCCCCGAUGGUCCUCUGAUGCUGGGUCUGUGCACUGAGCCAGGGCCUGCAGGAAUCACAGCCAGCCCCGUGAAUCCAGCUGGGGCGCGUCAGGAAUCGGCCUCACCUUGACUCACCAUCAUCACGGUCACCUGCCUGCCGUCUCCCUGCCGGCGUCCUGGGCCUGGAGGUGCUGUGGGAGGUCAGGUGAGGAAGGCCUGUUCAGCAUGGUGCUGCUGCCGGGGACUGGAGGGCCGUCCUCAGGCAGGCCAGCCGCGGCGAUGGCCCCUGGCGAGGAGAACGCAACGCGGAGCAAUGGCAGAGAGGGUGGGCGCCCAGAAAGGGAGGAGGGCUCCGGGGGCGGGAGCGGCUGGCUGCUGCUGACGGGCGGCAGAAGAAAGGCCACGCGGAGGCCCAGCGAAGGGAGGGCUGGAGGGAGAGGUGGGUCCUCAGCAGCCCGAGCCCCUCGGACUCUCCCAGCACAGGGGCUCCAGCUGGACCCCGCCUCCCUUGGGGUGAGGCCUCGUGCGACCCCGCCCGCAGGGGCCCUGACCCUGCCGCUCACGGGCUCUCAGGCGCCUUCGCCGAACCCUGGGGAACUCGUGAAGGUGAACUCGCUUCCUCCUGCACGCGGGCUCUGUGGCUUCGGGCGUGCCCCUUUCUUCUUAACAGUGAAACCGAGGCUAUUUUAUUGAAAACGGGAGUGGAGGAAAAGUAAUUUUUUUUUCUCGAUAAAACUCUUUGGUCUAUAUAAUUUCUCUGAGUUUGAAAUAAUGAGAACUCACUCCAACAAAAAGUAAAUAUUAUUUUUCUCCAAAAAA